GACAGAGGGUGCAAACGUUGUUCGGAAUUACUGGGCGUAAAGCGCGUGUAGGCGGCCCGGUAAGUCCGCUGUGAAAGUCGGGGGCUCAACCCUCGAAUGCCGGUGGAUACUGUCGGGCUCGAGUGCGGAAGAGGCGAGUGGAAUUCCUGGUGUAGCGGUGAAAUGCGCAGAUAUCAGGAGGAACACCGAUUGCGAAGGCAGCUCGCUGGGACGUUACUGACGCUGAGACGCGAAAGCGUGGGGAGCAAACAGG
rnacentral:rRNA from 1 species